rnacentral:tRNA from 1 species
GCCCCUGUAGCUCAGUUGGUAGAGCAUCACCAUGGUAAGGUGGAGGUCGGCAGUUCAAUUCUGCCCGGGGGCUCCA